UAAAUAACUCCCCAGGGUCACCUGUCUACAGCUGGGGGAGACAGAAGUUGAACCCAGACGGUCCUGAAUCCAAGGCUCAGAGGUUCAACUCCUGCUGUCCGCUGUUCAGGUGAAGUCAGGGGAAUGGACUCAGGGUAGCCAGGCUGGCUGUGUGGUCUGCCCAAGGCAUGGGUGACAGCAGCAGAAGACAGAGCGGGGAGGUCAGUGUAAAGGCAGAGGGAUGGGCAGGGCCUCUGCCAGCCCUUGACCUCCUGGAGAAGCCAGUGAGGCUGACCUGGGGGCCUUCCCUGGGACAUGUCCCUCAUCCUUCCUCUACUCGAGGAGCCCAACAAGAUACAUGCUUGUGCCUGAGGGUAGGGUUGUUAGACUUCCCUGCAUCAGCACCUUGUCUUUUAAGCAAGAGAGCUGGAGAGGGCCAUGCUUAACCCAGAGAAAUAAGUCACUAGUGCCAUGUCAUUCUCCUUUUUUUUUUUUUUUUUUUGAGACAGAGUCUUGCCCAGGCUGGAGUGCAGUGGCAUGAUCUCGGCUCACUGCAACCUCCGCCUCCCGGGUUCAAGCGAUUCUUCUGCCUCAGCCUCCCGAGUAG
rnacentral:lncRNA from 1 species